rnacentral:lncRNA from 10 species
GAUAUCAGACCAAGAUUCUGAUAAAAGGGGAUAACAGAGAUUAACCGGAGCAGAAAAAGUACUUUUCUGAGCCAGAGAUAACAAGAGAAACUUAAAGAAAGUGCUGAAGCAAGAAACUUUAAGCCUGUGAGUAGGAUGAACCUAACCAGUUGGCAGUGCCUCGUACUCUGUGAUGGAUUUUCCGAAGACCAAAUGUACCAUUUUCUUGUCUUUUCAAAGAGAGCCACACAGGAAGGAAAACAAGAAAUUCAACUUUUAAGCUGGGCUAUUCAUGGCCUUUGCUAAAUCCUGGCAGAAUUUCACAGUUCUUCAUUACAAUUCAUCUCACUGAUUUCCUAAUGCAAUGAACUGGCCUUUUCAUUAAGGCCAUAGGGAAUGAAGCUGAGUUACCCAAUCAUUAAGUGUUGUUAUCUGAUGAGUGAAAAAUGGAUUACUUUUCGAUGUGCAUUUGGGGAGCCGUGUGUGUGUGUGUGUGUGUUUCCACUAGAUUCCAUUUUGCGAAAAUUGGUUCAAGUGGAAGGACAGGGUUAAUCUUUCAUGUUCUGUUCUGCUAGAACACUAUAUGGCUUUCUGCUCUGUGAGCAGGCAAAGAAAAAUUGGUGGGCUCAGGAAUCAGAAAUGCAGGGCCAACAGUCCUGUUUCUCACUUUCGAUAAAGGCCAACAUUUUACCUGCUCAAGAACACUCUAUUCCUUUAACCAACGGGAGUGUUAUUUAAUUAGUUCCUUCGUUUUUCAGCUAAAGCAGACACAUGCGCACAUCACACACACAUGCAUGCGCUGUGGUGUUUUUUCUUCUAUCACCCCUCCCUCCACAGAGAUAUCAAUUUGCAUAAGAGGAGAAAAUAAAUUCAUUUAAACCCCAUUCUAAAUUCAGUAUUAGAAAUGUAAUGAUCUCUAACACUGACCUUUUUAAAAUACUUUGUGGAUAAACCAUUGAUUUUAUUUGUUCUAAAUUUACUUUAAAAGACCUGUUUUGUAAAUCACUAAAACACAUGUAUUUUAUUUACCUGUUUGGGAUAAUAUUAAACAUAAUCUUUGAGGGUA